rnacentral:rRNA from 1 species
UACGGGGGGGGCAAGCGUUGUUCGGAAUUACUGGGCGUAAAGGGCUCGUAGGCGGCCAACUAAGUCAGACGUGAAAUCCCUCGGCUUAACCGGGGAACUGCGUCUGAUACUGGAUGGCUGGAGUUUGGGAGAGGGAUGCGGAAUUCCAGGUGUAGCGGUGAAAUGCGCAGAGAUCGGGAGGAACACCAAUGGCGAAAGCAGGUACCUGGACUAUUACUGACGCUCAGCUGCGAAAGCUAGGGGAGCAAACAGG